rnacentral:rRNA from 1 species
UACGGAGGGUGCAAGCGUUAUCCGGAUUCACUGGGUUUAAAGGGAGCGUAGGUGGCUUUGUAAGUCAGUGGUGAAAUAUUGCGGCUCAACCGCAAAACUGCCAUUGAUACUGCUUAGCUUGAAUCACGUCGAGGUGGAUGGAAUAAUACAUGUAGCGGUGAAAUGCUUAGAUAUGUAUUAGAACACCGAUUGCGAAGGCAGUUCACCAGGCGUGUAUUGACACUGAGGCUCGAAAGCGUGGGGAUCAAACAGG